AUGAAUGGUGGGGUUCGAGAGGACGGAAAGAAGAAACUUCACUGGAGGUCUUGGGCAUGGCUUUCAACCCCAAAGUCACUUGGUGGUAUGGGUUUCCGGGAUAUGUCGCUGUUUAAUCAAGCGAUGCUCGGUAAGCAGGGCUGGAGACUUCUAACUGAACCUGAUUCUUUAUGCGCCCGUGUCUUGAAAGGAAGGUAUUUUCCGACUGGGAACUUUUGGAGUGCCUCAGCACCUCGGACGGCAUCGGUGACUUGGCGUGCUAUCCUUCAUGGUCGAGAGCUUUUGAAACAAGGGGUACGGUGGGCUGUUGGUAAUGGAAGAAGCAUUCAUUUUUUUCUGAUCAUUAGAUACCGUCUACUCCACCGAUAA
rnacentral:rRNA from 1 species